UGGGUUUGAGGCUGUGAGCCCAGGAACCUGUAUGCCUGACUUCUCUCAUCUCAGAAUAUCAGGGACAUGUAAAUUGACUCAGUUCAGAGACCUUCAAGCUAGCGGCUAAUUCUGAAAAGCAGCAAAUCUAAAAUUUGCACCCUUGGUGAGCGGAGCGAGAAGCUCUGAUCUUGUAUUUCUGCAAGCACAUCAGCAGUGAUGUGACCCUCCUGGGAGACACAGCCAUCUGCAGGCCUCACUGGACAGCACCAAGGAGACGUAAUCCUCAAUUACCAGAUCAAAUUCCAUAAAGAGCAUUGAAUGUCUAAGGCUGAUAUCAGUGAAUGUCUAAAAUGUGUCUGUUAUGGGAGGUCCAUAAGCGCAUUAGCUGCAGGCUGUGUGUAUUUUUGAGUGCAGAUUGAAUGUUUGUGUAUUUCUGAGCUGUUUGAUGUGUGUGCGAUUUGAUGGUGGUAAAACCAAGAGAUGGUGUAUCUUACACUGUCUAAUUGGCUCAAAUUGACCUUCAUUUUAUAAAACAUACCACAAAUAUAUGACCUUUAAAGUGUUACAUAACAAUAAGCCCAACUCCAAACAUUAAUUAUGCUGGAAUGCUAAAUGAGCUUUAAAAUAAAGACAUACUUUUCCAUUUAGGUCAAAGGUAAAUAAGUAUGUGCAGAAAAAAUGAGUUUAAAGUUUAAAACAUGCAAGCCAAGUUCUUACGAAUGCAAUUUUUGUUCAAGAUGGUUUCAUAAUUUAUUUAUUUUUUUGUACUGUUUUCAAAGAAAUGUCAAGUGGUAUAAAGUAAAUAUAUUCUUUCCUUGAAUAUAUAUUAAUGUGCACAUCUCAAUGUCACAUAAUAUUCAAGCAUGGGUUUUAACCAUAUUUCCAAAUUGUGCGCUUAUGUUCUUUGACAACCUGAACUAAACUUGCAAUGUCAUAAAAUUGUCAAAGUAUCUGAUAAUUUAAAGAGACUUACGGAUCUUGAUAGAGGUCUACUCUGUAAACAGUUUUUAAAAUAUUAAUGAUAUUUUGCCAAAUAAAAGAUUAUUUCAAAUUACAUGAUUUAAUCUACUUUUU